UAUCCACAUGGGAAUAUUUUAAAAAAUUAUUUUUAGUAUAGUGUACAUCCCAGAAAAACUGGGGUGAAGUGCAGAGUUGUCCCGUGUCCCCUCUGCUCCCACAGCCCCUCCAUCAUCAGCAUCUCUCAGACACUGUUGCAUUUCUUACAAUUCGUCAGCCUCUGCCCACAUUUACAAUCACAUUAGGGUCCCUUUUUGCAUUCCUUGGAAUUAGACAAGUGGACAGUGAUAUGUGUCCCAUAAUGUGUCUUGGCCAUUCCCUAACAGAGGUGUUUUCUCAUGUGUUUUAAUUUGAAUUUCCCUGGUGACCUGGGAUGUCACAGUGAUGUUUGGCUGAUGUCCACAAUGUGCAGUGGUCAGACCCAGCUGUCAAAUGAUUGUCAUCUGUCCCUCCCUUCUGGUCCUUCUCCUUCCCUAUGUUCCAAGAUCAAUGUUCCUAUCACAUAUUAUUUCUUUAUAGAGCACUUUGCCCCCACUUUGGGGUUAGGUAUGUAUUAUUCUCUUUGUUUUUCUACACCUGAGGGGAUCUUGAUUUUACCUUGAUUUCUGAAGUACAUUUUCUUGGGUCUAGAAUUCUGGGUAAACAGAAUUGUCCUUCAGCACUUGAAAGUGUGUCAUUUUCCUUGUCCUCCCUGUUUUCUGGGGAGAAAUUCUCUGGUGAUUCUAGUUGCUUCUCCCAUAAAGCUAAGGAUUCUGUCUCUUCAGAAGCUGGCAGUGUGGCUGUGAGGGGAGCUGAGAGGCACCUCCUGGUUCAUUCUGAGUCCCUGUGCAUUUGCCUUCUCAGGUUCUCCCAGGGUUCUCUAGCUGGGUGUGACCUUGGCAGUCCCUCCUGUUGCCUCCUUCCUCUGUCUGCUCCAUUCACCUGCUAAGCUCACCUCUGCUUUUAUUAUGGUGUAUGCAUUGUUCAGUUCUGAAACUUUCAUAUUUUGCCUUUGUACAGUUUCAAUACUCUUGUUGAUGCUUUCUGGUUGUUUUUCAUUUCUUUCAAACAUAUUUGCAGGUGCUUGUAGAUGCACUUUUACUGUGGCUGCUUUAAAAUCCCGUUCAGGUAAUCCUUAUAUACAUUUCAACUCAAUGUUAAUGUGAACUGACUGAACUUUCUCAUUGACAUGAGUUUACCCAGGUUUUCAUAUAAGGAAGGAUGUUUCCUUUUUUACCUGGACACUACUGGUAUUGGGUCCCCUCAUAGGCCUAAAAUCCUUACUUUCUAAGAAGCUCCUAUUUAGUGCCAGUGCUUUGACUUCUGGUCUACAGAGGGCCAAAGCUCACCCCAAAGAAAGGUUUCUUGUCCUGUUGGCCCAGGAAGCUCAUUCUCCUUGGAAGCACUUAGUCCCCACAAAUGCCUGAAUUCAAUCAAAUCCUCUUAAUCACUUGUGGUCAGUUUCAUAUCAGUGGGACAUAAUUCCAACAGUCAUCUAACUUAGAGGAGAAAAAGUUUAUUUAAGUACAUUGGUUCAGAAAGUCAGUCCAUGGUCAGCUGACCCCAUUGAUCUGGGCCAAGGUGGGCAGAACAUCAGGGCAGAAGGGUGUUGGGGAGGAGAGCUGCUUCACCCUUGGUGGAAAGGAUGUGUAAUGAGAGCAGGAAGGGGCCUCAGGGAAGUUGCAACCUUCCAGGGCUCACCCCUAGUGACCACCUGCUCCAGUUACACCUCCCUGCCCUCAGUCACCAUCAUUUUAGUCCACUCAGGCCAGGAAGGACUGAAUAACCUAAGCUCUUCUAGUCUUGUUAUUUUAUCUCUGAAUAUUCCUGCAUUUACACAGUAGGGGUAGGGGGUCACUUGAAGUUGAAACCAAAGCACAGUCUACAGAACUGCACAAGCAAUGACAUCAACAUAACUGUUUUGAUUCUAGCAGAAACUUUUUUUCUUAAAAAAAUAGCAAAUAUUUUUUGGAACCAAAUACCACACAUUGCACAUGAUCUGAGGGAAGUAUGUCAUGGAGUAGAAACUAAGAAGUCCUCAUUAUGCCUGUUCUCUUUCCUCUUUCUGUCACUAGCCUGCCAUAGCAAAGCUGCAGCCUUUGCUGAACCUGUGUUUGCAGAGACAGGAAUUUAAAUAUUCUCUCUAUUUUUGUUUCUUCUGAUUGUUCCCAAUUUCACUCUCUCUUCAUUUGAGGACAGCUGUCAUCUGCUUUUGACAAGUGUAUAUCUUCUCAGGAUCACUUGGACUCUGAUUUCUGUCUUCUUCCUCCAUGCCCUGAACCAACCUGCUUUCCAGGAAUGCAUGCACAGAUCUUUGACAAGGGCACAUAUCUCUCCACGCAGGGCUUGUGACCAUACACUCUUUUUAAUUAUGAGCUUGAUAAAAUAUAUCAGAGCCACCCAUCAUUCUGGCUACACUGUGGAGGCAAUCACCUUACCUGUGGCAACUUAUGAUGCUAAUGCAUUCAGGUCAAAGCAUCUCCAGGCCCCCUACCCCUUGGCAUUAACUGAUGAGGACAAUCCUCAUGGUUGUCAGAGUGAGCUCAUGAUGAGGUAUAGGGUAAGAGAGAAAAUUGGUAUGGACACCUGGUAUCUGUACAUGAACUUUGCUCUGAAUCUGCUGAUUCCCAAAGGUGUCAUCUGCAACUUAGAAUAAAGUGUUUGCUAUCUCCUCUUUCACAUUGUCAAAAUGAUAUUAGGCAUAAAACCACAACAUUGAAAAUACAAAUUUGAAUCUCAGUUGAUGACAUCUCCUAAAAAAUUUCACAAAUUAGUUUAUAAAAUUAUAUCACUUUUUAGUCAUUUAUUUUUCAGCAUUGCACAGAUUUUAUCCCAAACAUUGCAAGAAAAUUAAUAAAAUGAUAUUUCUACACAGUGGGUUCUGAUAGAUGCACUCACCAGUUAACUUGACAAAACAAUUUCAUACAAGAGAACAUCACACUUAUAGCCUGGAAUUGUGCCAAGAGUAUUGAAUUCAAAUGUGAAAAUAAGCUGAGUGAAAUGGAGCUUACAUAGGACACCAGUGUGCAUGUGUGUGAGCUCUGUGCACUGGAUUGGAAGCACGAUAUUUUCAAGUUCUAUUCCACAUACUCUAGGUCCAUGUAGAUCACUUCCCCACUCCCUUCAGGUCAAAACUCAAGGAAAGAGAGCUGUAAUUAGUCACCUGGUCCUGAGGCUGCUCAAUCUACACAAGUUUUUCGUCACCCCCCCCCCGUUAUUCUGCCGUUCGUCACCCCCCCACCCCAGUUAUUCUGCCGCAGUCCGGCUGCAGCAAAAUAACAGGGGGUGUGUAGAUUGAUACAGCAGGAGUGGGAGCCGUUUACUGUAGGACAGGAGCAGUAUUUAUACAUUCCACACAGCUUAUCUUAAUUAUCAUAAACUAGAUACAUCAGUUAACCAAUAAGAAAUCUCCACACUUAAUGGCUCCCUGGAGUUACUUCACAAACCACUCCCUCUGGCAUUUUGCCAGGCGCCAUCCAGACUUGUUUACAGACUCUAACAGUUGCUCUUGUAACUUUCUUUUCCAUUUCCCGAUAGAUAUUUUUUCAACUGUGAAAGUAAUUGUACCUGAAGUUUAAUGGAAUUUACCAUUUUUUUUUCAAUAUAAGCCCAGACAUUUUUUGAUGUUUGAGGGUUUUCAGGUUCAUGGCUGAGUUUGCUGGAACAAGUUGCAGCCCUCACAUGGGUCAAGUGCACUUGAGCCAGUGUGUGAUGUAGGCUUUGAUGUCCUUGUAGUCCUGGGGACCAGGCCAUGAAGAAAACAGUGGCUGCAGGAUUGAAAGUGGGCAGAAUCAUUUCAACCCUGAUGAAUUACAUGUGGGUCUGCUGUGGUGAGUGGGGUGUGGAGUUUGUGGCAUCUGAG
rnacentral:lncRNA from 1 species